rnacentral:rRNA from 1 species
GAUGAACGCUAGCGGCAGGCUUAACACAUGCAAGUCGAGGGGCAGCAUAAAUAGUAGCAAUACUAUUGGUGGCGACCGGCGGACGGGUGCGCAACGCGUAUACAACCUUCCCUAAACAGGGGGAUAAUCUGGAGAAAUUCGGUCUAAUACCCCUUAACAUCAGAGCAGGCAUCUGUUUUGGUUAAAAUUUCCGGAGGUUUAGGAUGGGUAUGCGUAGCAUUAGCUAGUUGGUGAGGUAACGGCUCACCAAGGCGACGAUGCUUAGGGGGACUGAGAGGUUAACCCCCACACUGGUACUGAGACACGGACCAGACUCCUACGGGAGGCAGCAGUGAGGAAUAUUGGUCAAUGGGCGGAAGCCUGAACCAGCCAUGCCGCGUGCAGGAUGACGGCUCUAUGAGUUGUAAACUGCUUUUGUACGAGGGUAAAGUGGGCUACGUGUAGCCUUUUGAAAGUAUCGUACGAAUAAGGAUCGGCUAACUCCGUGCCAGCAGCCGCCGUAA